AUGUUCCUCUUCUGUUCUUUUAGGAAAAGAAAUUUUGUCAUUUUUUUUAGGUUCCUAAUACAGUGUCCCACGCAUCAUCUCUUUUGUUCAAAUGGAACAUCUUGUUGCCCACGCGAUUGCACCGAGUAUGAAUACACCUGCUGCCGCGGCUCUCAGCAGAAAAGAGGCCAUCCACGGAGGUGCGGCAGACGGAGAUCCUUGAUCCUGCUCUGCAGCCUGUUUCGUGAUGCUUUGUCAAUGCGGCACAGGGUCUCACAGCGGCCGGUGUCGAGCAGCCGGAGGCGUGGGCAUUGGUGGGCGAGAGCGACCAACGAGUCUUCCUUGAUCUGGCCGUGCGACAGCACGAGCUCCUCGAGCAGCGGGAGCUUCUCGGCCACCACGGAGAUGAGCUUCUCGCUGCUCAUGUCGUGCAGCCGCGUGCCCGCGUCACGUGGAGGCUCCGCAGCGACGGCGCGCUGCAAGUUAUUGUUAGCACAGGCAGAUCGUGCUGCAGAUUCAGGAGACGAGACCGAUCGAUCGGCGCGUACGUACCUGUGGACGAGGAAGGGCAGUACAUCGCCGUCGACGCGGCCGCGGAAGGACUCGCAGCGGCCGGCGCUGCGCUGCACGGCGGCACGCGCCAUCGCCUGGCAGGCCGCUGGUGAGUACGUCUUCUCGUCAGCGAGGUCGAUGUGCCGCCACAGCAGCGGCUCGCCGGCGGCCACCCGCCACCAUGAGGCGCACGCGAGCCCCGCGCCGAGGAGGGCGUCGGCUUGCGGGACCAGGCUCAGGAUGACCCACAGGACGUCGCCGGGCAGUGCUGGCCAGUCCCUCCACUCCAGUGGCCCGCUGUUAAGCCGGCGGCGCCGGGACGGUGGAGGCGGAUCGGUUGAUGGGCUUCUGGUGCGCCUCUUCGAGCCCAUGUUGUGUUCUUUUAGGUUUGUUUCUCCACCCGAUCGAGCCAGAUUAAAUAGAUUGUCCCAAAUUGAAAAGGAAAGCAUUACCCUUCAGCCGGCGGAUGCAAGCGCAGCGUCCGUCACUUCUAGCGCCCACGUUGGCCACAAGUCCGCAACAUCGCUCUUGUUGCAAGGAAGGCCAGACACGUGGAUGAGUAGAUCGGAUGACCAUCCUUGCGUCCAUCCAACAAUCAGUUACGUGGCGAAUAUUUUCUACUUAUCCACCGGUCGAUAUGUAGCGUGGCCCAAAGAAAAAACAGAUUAA
rnacentral:rRNA from 1 species